GUCGCCGUGGCCUAGUGGUUAGGGCAUCUGCUUUACAAAGCUAUAAGCUCAGCAACGCAGAGGAUCGCAGGUUCGACCCCUGCCGGCGACA
rfam:Pseudomassariella vexata strain CBS 129021 BCR38scaffold_27, whole genome shotgun sequence.